GGCAUCCGUAGAUGUUCAUCAACCACUGUUGCUAACAGGUGGGAUUCGGAAUGGUUUGUCCCGUCUAGAUAUCCCGUUGAACUGGGAUAGGCAGGACAAUUUACACAGAAGGUACUAAUAAAUCAUCCUCGUGAAUCGAGAUACAAGUAUUCAUGUAAGUGUAUACAGGUAAAUGUAUCUACGUAAAGGUACUCAUGUAAUGUAUUCAUGUAAGGUAUUCAUGUAAGGGUAUCCAUGUAAGCGUACUCAUGUAAGUGUAUUCAUGUAACAUGUAAUGUAUAGUAUAGACUCAUGAAUGAACUGACUCUGAUGUAAUUCCUUGUAAUAGGAAUAAUGUUUUGUAUCUUCUAACUAUCCCUAUAAUAGUUAACUGGAAGGUAAUUGGUUGUCCAAGCAGGUUUAUACACCCUUGCUACACAAGAGUGUGGGAAACUGAAUGAAGGAUGAAAACUAUAACAUCAAUACAUAUAUAAGAACAUAAGUGUAUAGAUAUAGUUUUGUUCAAGAAGGUAAAAAUGGUUUUGUAAGACAUCUAAGAGUUUUGAACAAUAAUUAACAAUGACUUGAUGUCAUUUUAAUAAACAUUUCAAAAGUAAUACAUUUGCUAACAAAGUAUUUUUAAGAUAGAAAACCAUUUCAUGCAUCACAUUUUGAAGUAUGUGAAAUCUGCUGGAUGAAAACACAGUUAUAAAUACAUAUGAAAGAUUUAAUAACAUGCUGUUUUCUACUUGUAUUCCCCCCCCUCUCUCCCCCCAUUAAAGCAUUUAAAAUCAUUUAAAACAUUGAUUAAGGGGUAUGAACUCACCUGAAGAUGGUGGUUUGGAUGAACUGAACGGUGAAGGAUUGUUAGGUGUCAAGUGAGGACUUGUACACACACUAUGAUCCUAAUGAACAUAUAAUCACACAUAUAUGCACCCAAUUAGUCUUAAACUACUAAUUGUAAAUGUUAAGAUAUCCUAGAACAUGAUAAACACUUUAUAUAAGUGUUAUAAGCCCUAAGGAUUGCAUCUAAGUUGUUGUGGGACAAGGCAAUUGGGUUUGGGUUCCAAAGGACCCUAUACAUGAGUUUACUCUCCAAUAAACCUCACACAAGGAGUUUACAGCCGUAAGCUCCUAAGCUUAAUGAUAUUUUGUGUUUUGAAGUGUUACAUGAUCCCUAGAAGCAAUUCUACUUGGAGGUUUAAUCCAUGGAAGAGUUUAGGGCACUAAUACACUCCUUUGAGGAGUUUACGGCCCCAAGGCCAUUUCCUUUUGAGUUUACUGCCGUAAACUCAUAUGGGAAGGGGUAUUUUUAUGUUUUCAAGUCUCAUGCUCAUCUAGGAUAGGUUCUAGACAUUUAUCUAAGGCUAAUGAAGGCCUUAGGCACACUUUGGUACCCUUGAUUGAUGUUCACGGCCCAAAGACCAUUUCCAUAAGAGAUGACAGCCGUAAUCUCCCUUUUGGGAUGGGUCUUUGAUGUUUUAAGGUGCUUAAUGCAACUAGGAGUAAAUCUAGGUGUUUUUCCAAGGCUUUAGGAGUGGUUAAAGCACUCUUUGGCCCUUGAGUUUUGAGUUCACGGUCCAAGAGCUUCUUGGGCCGUGAACACCUUUGUCUUGGUGUUUCAUGGGUGAUUUCUAGUCUUAUAAACACUAGCAUACAAGCCUAAGGUAGUUACAUAUCACAAGGGAAGGACUAGGCUUCAUUUUAAGAGUUUACUCCCUAAGGUGUUCUUGGGCGGUAAACUCUCGAAUCUAGUUGUUUUGAUAUGAAAUAUAUGUUAUUAAGCACAUUACUAUGUAUAUAUUACAACUAGAGAGAGGUACUCACGAUUUGGGAUGAAAACCCGAAGAUCCGUGAGAGAGAAAAUGACUUUUCUCUAGUUGAAAAUGCAAUUAAUGAAUGAAAAUGGCUCAGAUUUCUAUAUAUAGUCCUGGGAUUUUUGGCAGAAAAUAGUUUUUUAUUCCCGAAAUGAACUCUAAUGUAAUAGAGUUUUGGAAUAACAGAGUUGCACGAAACCCUAAUGCAUCCACUCUCCGGAUAUCUCCUUAAGUGUAAACCCUGAAAUACUCAAACUUAUAUGGAAAAGUCUGAAAAUUUACNAAUACUCAAAAUAUGGAAAAGUCUGAAAAUUUACUGCGACUGUUCUGACUUUUAUUGAAGUGAUAUUGUUUGUACAUAAUAAAAUUUCGGGUUGUCACAUCAUCCCCUCGUGAGAAGGAAUUUCAUCCCGAAAUUAGAAUUUAAGCAAAUAAGAAGUNNNNNNNNNNNNNNNNNNNNNNNNNNNNNNNNNNNNNNNNNNNNNNNNNNNNNNNNNNNNNNNNNNNNNNNNNNNNNNNNNNNNNNNNNNNNNNNNNNNNGCAUCAACUUUUGUUUGGAAAACGUUCUUUCCUCAUAUGCACCAUGGUCCUUACAAAGUGAUGAAUUAAGGUCAUUUCCUUACAAGAUGGUGACGUGGUUUAGGCGCAUACGAGACCAUGGAGUGCAUGGCUCCAUGCAUGGCUCAUGAAAAGGUAGCAUGCACUCCAUGGUCUCGUCCCAGAUCAACCUUAUAAGUAUUAUCAUUGACAUGUGUCACCACUUUGUAAGGACCUUCAGCUCUUGGCAUCAACUUUUGUUCUUCCUUUUGUUAGCAAAACGUUCUUUCCUCAUAUGCGCCUAAACCACGUCACCAUCUUGUAAGACACGUGGUUUCCUAUGCAUGUUGGAAUUCUGUUUGUACACGUCAUACACAGCUUCAAUCUUCACACAAACUUGUUGGUGUAGUUACAUCAUGGCCUUCAAAUUGUCAUUUGCAUCCUUGUGAACCAAUUCACCAUUUGGAAAUGGAAUGAAAUACAAAGGCUUGUAAGGAUUCACACCAUACACCACUUACGUAGGCUUAUAAGGACCUUCAGCUUUUGGCAUCAACUUUUGUUUGGAAAACGUUCUUUCCUCAUAUGCACCAACACCAAAUCACCAUCUUGAAAGACACGAGGUUUCCUAUACAUGUUGGAAUUCUGUUUGUACACGUCAAUCACGGCUUCAAUCUUCACACUAGCUUGUUGGUGUAGUUUCGUCAUGGCCUUCAACUUGUCAUUAGCAUCCUUGUGAACCAAUUCAUCGUUUGGAAAUGGAAUAAUAUACAAAGGCUCGUAAGGAUUCACACCAUACACCACUUACAAAGGCUUGUAUCAACCUUCAGCUCUUGGCAUCAACUCUUGUUCAAAGUGAACAAAGGUUAGUUUGAUUAAAAUUUCAUCUAUCUCUUUUUUCCAUGCAUAAUUGGCUUAUAUGAAGCCUUUAUAACAAAGUUGGUGGUUACUAGCCACCCAACCAACUACUCAGUAAAACUAAUAAUGGAAAUUAAAGAAACUCAUGAAACCACACAAAAAAACGUCUGACACACUAAUGAAUGAAAAAAGUGUCCAUGCUCCAUUAAGGAGCAAAAAGAAGCAUUAAAGUGUAAUCCAAAUCCACCAAAGAGUGCACAAGACAUGCAAAGUGGGUGGAGUUCUUGCAAUCCUUUCCUUUUUCAGGCAAAUACAAGGAUGGGAAAAGCAAUGUGGUGGCUGAUGCACUCUCGAGGCGUUAUUCAUUGUUGGUGACAUUGGGUGUUCGUUUCUUGGGAUUUGAAACUCUAAAGGACCAUUAUCAAUCUGAUAUGGACUUUGGAGAUAUGUUUUUGAAAUGUGUAGGUGGUCCUAAUAGUGAAUUUGUGAUUCAAGAUGGCUUUUUAUUCAAAGGUAAUCGCCUUUGUGUCCCAAAACAUGCAAUACAUUAGUUGUUGAUUCAUGAAGCUCAUGGUGGUGGUUUGGCUGGUCAUUUUGGCAUUACCAAAACUUUGGAGGUACUUAAGGAACAUUUCAUUUCGCGAAAUAUGUUAGGCGAUGUAACCAACAUAGUGGGUAAGUGUGUUACAUGUCACAUGGCAAAAACAAUAUUUAAGCAUGGUGUUUACACUCCUUUGCCAGUUCCUAUUUGUCCUUGGGAAGAUGUGUCCAUGGAUUUCUUUAUGGAUUUGCCUAGGACUCAAAGGGGGAAGGAUUCCAUAAUGGUGGUGGUGGAUAGGUUUUCAAAAAUGGCUCACUUUGUGCCAUGUCAUAAAACCAAUGAUGCAUCUAAUGUGGCUGAUUUGUACUUUAAAGAGGUGGUUCGUUUUCAUGGUAUUCCUAAAACAAUUGUUUCUGAUAGGUAUUCCAAGAUUCUAAGUUACUUUUGGAACACUUUGUGGAGGAAAGUGGGUACUAAGUUACUUUUUAGUACAUCCCAUCAUCCACAAACAGAUGGGCAAACGGAGGUGACUAAUAGAACUUUGGGAACUUUUUAAGGGGGUUGGUUAGCAAAACUCAAAAAGAUUGGGAUAUCAAACUUGCACAUGCUGAAUUCGCCUAUAAUCGUUCUCCUACUUAUGCAACAGGUCAUUCUCCUUUUGAAGUGGUGUAUGGUGUGAAUCCUUACGUGCCUUUGGAUUUGAUUCCAUUGCCAAAGGAUGAAUUGGUCCACAAGGAUGCUAAUGACAAGUUGAAGGCCAUGAUGAAACUACACCAACAAGUUCGUGAGAAGAUUGAAGUCGUGAAUGAGUUGUACAAAUAGAAGUCCAAUAAGCAUAGGAAACCACGUGUCUUUCAAGAUAGUGACUUGGUGUGGGUGCAUAUGAGGAAAGAACGUUUUCCUAACAAAAGGAAAAACAAGUUGAUGCCGAGAGCUGAAGGUCCUUAUAAAGAUAUGUCACGUGUCAAUGAUAAUGCUUAUAAGGUAGAUUUGGGAGGAGACCAUGGAGUGCAUGCUACCUUUAAUGUGGGAGAUCUUUCACCUUAUCUUGAUGAUGAUGGACUUGAUGAAUUGAGGUCAAUUCCUGUCAAAGCGGGAGGGGAUGAUCCAUGCAUGGAUUAUGAAAGCCCAAAAGGUGAUGGAUUAGUGAUUACUAGUGGGCUAGAAGGUGGCUUGGGCUCAAUGGUUGGGUUGUGCAUGGUAACCCACAAAUUGAAUUAAGGUUGCAUGAAGGCCAGGGCAACAUUUUUAAGGAUUCAUAAAGUGCUAAAAACGUUACUUUUUACUUCAUAAAGCCUCCUAACCGUUUUUAGCACUCUUUGGUGGAUUAUGGUUGCACUUUAAUGCUUCUUAUGGCUCUUUAAUGCUUCUUAUGGCUCCUUAAUGAAGCAUAGACGCUUUUUUUCAUUCUCAAGUGUCUUGGACGUUUUUUUAUGUUAUUUCAAGAGUUUCCUUAAUUUUCAUUUACUAGUUUUAAUGAAUAAUUGGUUGGUUGGCUUGGAACCACCAAAUUUGUAAUAAAGGCUUCAUAUAAAGCAAGGUUUAUGCAUGGGAAAGAGAAUGCACGAAUUUUAAUGAAAGAACUCUUUCGUUCACUUUGAAUUAUUGUCAUAGUUCAAAAAUUAUCAUCUUUUGGACGUGAUCCUUGAGUUGAUCGAAUUCAAACUAAUAGGUCUUAGUUUGUCUUCAGAUUUACAAGCUAUAUGUCUACUUUGUUUAUCAAAUCUAUCCUUUUCUUUCCAUAUAUUUGCGGUUGUUAUUCUAGCUUUUAUCUAAACACUAACCCACUCACUAAAUCAAGUCCAUACACGUAUCACUUUGCCUAGAACUCAAAGGGGGAAUGAUUCUAUUAUAGUGGUGGUGGAUAGGUUUUCAAAAAUGGCUCACUUUGUGCCAUGUCAUAAAACCAAUGAUGCAUCUAAUGUGUCGGAUUUGUACUUUAAAGAGGUGGUUUGCUUGUAUAAUAUUCCUAAAACUAAUGUUUCUGAAAAGGAUUCCAUGUUUUCUAGUUAAUUUUGGAACACUUUGUGGAGGAAAGUUGGUACUAAGUUACUUUUUAGUACGUCCCAUCUUGCACAAACUGAUGUGCAAACGAAGGAGACUAAUAGAACAUUGGGUACACUGUUGAGGGGGUUGGUUAGAAAAGCUUAAAAACAAUUGGACAUCAAACUUGCACAUGUUGAGUUUGCCUGUAAUGGUUCUCCUACUUAUGCUAUAGGUCACUCUCCUUUAUAAGUUGUGUAUGGAGUGAAUCCUUACAUGCCUUUGUAUUUGAUUCCAUUUCCAAAAGAUGAAUUGUUUCACAAGGAUGAUAAUGAGAAGUUGAAGUCCAUGAUGAAACUACACCAACACGUUCAUGUGAAGAUUGAAGUCGUGAAUGACGUGUACAAACAGAAUUCCAACAUGCAUAGGAAACCUCGUGUCUUUCAAGAUGGUGACUUGGUUUAGUUGCAUAUGAGGAAAGAAGGUUUUCCUAACAAAAGGAAGAACAAAAGUUGAUGCCAAGAGCUGAAGGUCCUUACGAAGUGGUGUCACAUGUCAACGAUAAUGCUUAUAAGGUGGAUCUGGGAGGAGACUAUGGAGUGUAUGCUACCGUUAAUGUGGGAGACCUUUCACCGUAUCUUGUUGUGGAUGGCCUUGACGAACUGGUGUCAUUUCCUUUCAAAGGGGGAGGGGAUGAUCCAUGCAUGGAUCAUGAAAGCCCAAAAGGUGAUGGAUUAGUGAUUACUAAUAGGCUAGAAGCUGGUUUGGACUCAAUGGUUGGGACAAGCAUGGUAACCUAUGAAUUGAAUUAGGUUCGCAUGAAGGCUAGGACAACAUUUUAAAGGUUUCAUAAGUGCUCAAAACCGUUACUUUUUUCUUUAUCAAGCCUUCUAGCUUUUUUUUGAUACUCUUUGGUGGAUUAGGGUUACAGUUUAAUUCUUCUUGUGGCUCCUUAAUGGAGCAUGGACGCUUUUUUCAUUCAUUAGUGUCUCAGACGUUUUAUUGUGUGGUUUCAUGAGUUUCUUUAAUUUUCAUCAUUAGAUUUACUGAGUAGUUGGUUGUGUGGCUUGUAACAACCAACUUUGUAAUAAAGGUUUCACAUAAGCCAAGUAUGCAUGGAAAAAAGAGAUAGAUGAAAUUUUAAUCAAAAGAACCUUUGUUAACUUUGAAUUAUAGUUGUAGUUCACUACUUGUCAUAGUCGAGACGUGUUCUUGACCUGAUACGCAUUCAAUCACAUAUUAUGUCUUGGAUAGUUUUCACAACCCUACUCAGUUAAUUAAGCCCAUAAAGUCAUCAAAAAGCAAUCACCUUUGUGUCCCUAAACAUGCAAUACGGGAGUUGCUAAUUCGUGAAGCUCAUGGUGGUGGUUUGGCAGGUCAUUUUUCCAUUACCAAAACUUUGGACGUGUUUUAAGAACAUUUUUUCAGGCCUUAAAGAUGUUGGGGAUGUAACCAAAAUAGUGAGCAAGUGUGUUACAUGUCGGAUGACGAAAAAAACUUUCACGCUUGGUGUUUACACUCCUUUGUCGGUUCCUAUUCGUCCUUAGCAAUAUGUGUCAAUGGAAUUCAGUAUUGCUUUGCCUAGAACUCAAAGGGGGAAGGAUUCUAUUAUAGUGGUGGUCAAUAGGUUUUCAAAAAUUGCUCACUUUCUGCCAUGUCAUAAAACCAAUGCUGCAUCUAAUGUGUCUGAUUUGUACUUUAAAGAGGUGGUUUGCUUGUAUAAUAUUCAUAAAACUAUUGUUUCUGUUAGGGAUUCCAUGUUUUCUAGUUAAUUUUGAAACAUUUUGUGGAGGAAAGUUGGUCUAAGUUACUUUUUAGUACGUCCCAUCAUGCAUAAACUGAUGUGAAAACGAAGGAGGCUAAUAGAACUCUGAGGGGGUUGGUUAGAAAAACUCAAAAACAGUUGGACAUCAAACUUGCACAUGCUGAAUUUGCCUGUAAUUGUUCACCUACUUAUGCUAUAGGUCACUCUCCUUUAUAAGUGGUGUAUGGUGUGAAUCCAUACUUGCCUUUGUGUUUGAUUCCAUUUCCAAAGGAAGAAUUGGUUCACAAGGAUGCUAAUGAGAAGUUGAAGGCCAUGAUGAAACUACACCAACUCGUUCGUGUGAAGAUUGAAGUCGUGAAUGACGUGUACAACCAGAAUUCCAACAUGCAUAGGAAACCUCGUGUCUUUCAAGAUGGUGACUUGGUUUAGGUGCAUAUGAGGAAAGAAGGUUUUGCUAACAAAAGGAAGAACAAAAGUUGAUGCCAAGAGCUAAAGGUCAUUACGAAGUGGUGUCACAUGUCAAUGAUUAUGCUUAUAAGGUGGAUUUGGGAGGAGACUAUGGAGUGCAUGCUACCGUUAGUAUGGGAGACCUUUCACCGUAUCUUGUUGAGGAUGGCCUUGAUGAACUGAGGUCAUUUCCUCUAAAAGGGGGAGGGGAUGAUCCAUGCAUGGAUCAUGAAAGCCCAAUAGGUGAUGGAUUAGUGAUUACUAGUAGACUAGAGGGUGGUUUGGACUCAAUGGUUGGGUUGUGCAUGGUAACCUACGAAUUGAAUUAGGGCCGCAUGAAGGCUAGGGAAACAUUUUAAAGCCUUAUAAGUGCUCAAAACCAUUACUUUUUGCUUCAUCAAGUCUUCUAGCCUUUUUUUGAUACUCUUUGGUGGAUUAGGGUUACAGUUUAAUGUUGUUGUGGCUCCUUAAUGGAGCAUGGACGCUUUUUUCAUUCAUUAGUGUCUCAGAUGGUUUUUUUGUGUGGUUUCAUGUGUUUCUUUAAUUUUCUUUAUUAGUUAUACCGAGUAGUUGGUUGGGUGGCUUGUAACCACCAACUUUGUAAUAAAGGCUUCAUAUAAGCCAAGUAUGCAUGGAAAAAACAGAUAGAUGAAAUUUUAAUCAAAAGAACCUUUGUUCACUCAAAUUAUAGUUAUAGUUCACUACUAGUCAUAGUCGAUAUGUGUUCUUGACUUGAUACGGAUUCAAUCAAAUAUUAUGUCUUGGAUAGUUUUCACGGGUAUACAACUUAGUACGUCUUAAUUUGUUACUAAUCUAUCCAUUUCUUCCCAUACACCUAUCAUUUAUGGUGGUUAUUCUAGCUUAAUUUACCAAAAAUAAACCCUACUCAUUUAAUCAAGCCCAUAAAGGCAUCUAAAGGCAAUCACCUUUGUGUCCCUAAACAUGCAAUACGGAAGUUGCUAAUUCUUGAAGCUCAUGGUGAUGGUUUGGCGGGUCAUUUGUCCAUUACUAAACCUUUGGACGUGCUUUACGAAAAAAAUUCAGGCCUAAUGAUAUUCGGGAUGUAACCAGCAUAGUGGGCAAGUGUGUUACAUGGUGUUUACACUCCUUUACCAGUUCCUAUUCGUCCUUGGCAAGAUGUGUCAAUGGAAUUGAAUAUUGCUUUGCUUAGAACUCAAAGGGGGAAGGGUUCCAUUAUAGUGGUGGUGGAUAGGUUUUCAAAAAUGGCUCACUUUGUGCCAUGUCAUAAAACCAAUGAUGCAUCUAAUGUGUCUGAUUUGUAAAUUAAAGAGGUGGUUCGCUUGCAUAAUAUUCCUAAAACUAUUGUUUCUGAUAGGGAUUCCAUGUUUUUGAGUUACUUUUGGAACACUUUGUUGAGGAAAGUUGGUACUAAGUUACUUCUUAGUACGUCCUAUCAUCCACAAACUGAUGUGCAAACGAAGGUGACUAACUGAACUUUGGGUACGCUGUUGAGGGGCUUGGUUAGCAAAACUCCAAAACAAUUGGACAUCAAACUUGCACAUGCUGAGUUUGCCUGUAAUCGUUCUCCUACUUAUGUUACAGGUCACUCUCUUUUAUUAGAGGUGUAUGGUGCGAAUCCUUACAUACCUUUGUAACAGAACUUUGGGUACGUUGUUGAGGGGCUUGGUUAGCAAAACUCCAAAACAAUUGGACAUCAAACUUGCACAUGCUGAGUUUGCCUGUAAUCGUUCUCCUACUUAUGCUACAGGUCACUCUCUUUUAUUAGUGGUGUAUGGUGCGAAUCCUUACAUACCUUUGUAUUUGAUUCCAUUUCCAAAGGAUGAAUUGGUUCACAAGGAUGCUAAUGAGAAGUUGAGGGCCAUGAUGAAACUACACCAAAACGUUUGUAUGAAGAUUGAAGUCGUGAAUGACGUGUACAAACAAAAUUCCAACAUGCAUAGGAAACCACGUGUCUUUCAAGAUGGUGGCUUGGUUUAUGUGCAUAUGAGGAAAGAACGUUUUCAUAAAAAAAAGGAAGAACAAAAUUUGAUGCCAAGAGCUGAAGGUCCUUACAAAGUGGUGCACAUGUCAAUGAUAAUGCUUAUAAGGUGGAUCUGGGAGGAGACUAUGGUGUGUAUGCUACCUUAAUGUGGGAGACCUUUCACCAUAUCUUGUUAAGGACGGCCUUGAUGAAUUGAGGUCAUUUCCUUUCAAAGGGGGAGGGGAUGAUCCAUGCAUGGAUCAUGAAAGCCCAAAAGGUGAUAGAUUAGUGAUUACUAGUAGGCUAGAAGGUGGUUCCGACUCAAUGGUUGGGUUGUGCAUGGUAACCUACGAACUGAAUUAGGGUCGCAUGAAGGCUAGGGCAACAUUUUAAAGGCUUCAUAAGUUCUCAAAACCGUUACUUUUUGCUUCAUCAUCCCUUCUAGUCUUUUUUGAUACUCUUUGGUGGAUUAGGGUUACAGUUUAAUGCUUCUUGUGGCUCGUUAAUGGAGCAUGGACGCUUUUUUCAUUCAUUAGUCUCUCAGACUGUUUUUUAUGUGGUUUCACGAGUUUCUUUAAUUAUCAUUAUUAGUUUUACUGAGUAGUUGGUUGGGUGGCUUGUAACCACCAUCAUUGUAAUAAAGGCUUCAUAUAAGCCAAAUAUGCAUGGAAAAAAGAGAUAGAUGAAAUUUUAAUCAAAAGAACCUUUGUUCACUUUGAAUUAUAGUUAUAGUUCACUACUUGUCAUAGUCGAUAUGUGUUGUUGACUUGAUACGCAUUCAAUCAAAUAUAAUGUCUUGGAUACUUUUCACGGGUAUACAACUUAGUGGGUCUUGAUUUGUUACUAAUCUAUCCAUUUCUUCCCAUACACCUAUCUUUUGUGGUUGUUAUUCUAGCAAAAUUUAACAAAACACAACCUUACUCACUUAAUCAAGCCCAGAAAGGCAUCAAAAGGCAAUCGCCUUUGUGUCCCUGAACAUGCAAUACGGGAGUUGCUGAUCUGUGAAGCCCAUGGUGGUGGUUUGGCGAGUCAUUUUUCCUUACCAAAACUUUGGAGGAUCUUUAAGAACAUUUCUUCGGGCCUAAAGAAGCUGGGGAUGUAACCAACAUACUGGGCAAGUGUGUCACAUGUCGGAUGACGAAAAAACUUUCAAGCAUGGUGUUUACACUCCUUUGCCGGUUCCUAUUCGUCCUUGGCAAGAUGUGUCAAUGGAAUUCAGUAUGGCUUUGCCUAGAACUCAAAGGGGGAAGGAUUCCAUUACAGUGGUGGUGGUGGAUAGGUUUUCAAAAGUGGCUAAAUUUGUGCAAUGCAAUAAAACCAAUGAUGCAUCUAAUGUGUCUGGUUUGUACUUUAAAGAGGUGGUUCGCUUGCAUAUUAUUCCUAAAACUAUUGUUUUUGAUAGGGAUUCCAUGUUUUUGAGUUACUUAUGGAAGACUUUGUGGUGGAAAGUUAGUACUAAGUUACUUUUUAGUAGGUCCCAUCAUCCACAAACUGAUGUGCAAACGAAGGUGACUACUAGAACAUGGGGUACGUUGUUGAGGGGUUUAGUUAACGAAACUCAAAAAUAGUUGGACAUCAAACUUGCACAUGCUAAAUUUGCCUGUAAUCAUUCUCCUACUUAUGCUAUAGGUCACUCUCCUUUACAAGUGGUGUAUGGUGUGAAUCCUUAGAUGCCUUUGUAUUUGAUUUCUUUUCCAAAGGAUGAAUUGGUUCACAAGGAUUCUAAUGAGAAGUUGAAGGCCAUGAUGAAACUACACCAACACGUUCUUUAAAGAUUGAAGCCGUGAAUGACGUGUACAAACAGAUUUCCAACAUGCAUGUCACACCCCAAAACCAAGAACGGCGGAAACCUUUCGGGGUGGAGGAUGUCAUGUAUAGUAUCACAACAGUGUAAAGUAGCAAACAAGUAACAACAUCAUCCAUUGCAUUAAAAGUAAAGUUCUUUCAAAGUAAUAAGACACCAAAAUAUACAAUCAAAAUAAAAGACGAGUCUUGUCUGAGCUACGUCUUCUCAAAACCUGGUCAUCGUACCUGUCUACUGGUGACCUAAGAAUACAAGUUAUUUUGAAAGCGAGUAUCAGCCUAAAGCUGGUGAAUUCAUAAGUAUUUAAGUGUCAUUGUCUUGUUUUGGAAAGCUGUUAUGAAUGACUUGUAAACCUUUAAAUGAAACAGUUGAUGUAAGUAAUGAAAGCCCUAGAAAAUCCCUUAUUUUCUACUUGUAUGAAAUGUAGUCUUCUACCAAGACCCGAAUGUUUUGCUAUGAAAAGGAUAGUUUUCCUUUCUUUUGACUAUUACUAAUAGUACUUAGUCUAACUCAUCGUUUAUGUGAAUGUAUCACAAAAUAAGGUAAUAGGAAAAUGUACUAAUGUAAUUGUUAUCCUUUUGUAUUAGGAUUAACACGACAUCGCGAUUAGCGAAAUGUCUAACCUUUGAACAUCCGUAGAUUGUUCAAUUGUCCUCUGUAGCUGCAGCAGGGGGAGGAAGGGUUAGUCUCGUAAAGGUACUCCUAGUAUAAGUAUUAACUGUAGGCAUCCGUAGAUGUUCAUCAACCUCUAUAGCGAACAGUAGACCCAAGGAAUGGUUAGUCCCGUAAAGGUACUCCUAGUAUAAGUAAUAACCGUAGGCAUCCAUAGAUGUUCAUCAACCACUGUUGCUAACAGGUGGGAUUCAGAAUGGUUUGUCCCGUCUAGAUAUCCCGUUGAACUGGGAUAGGCAGGACAAUUUACACAGAAGGUACUAAUAAAUCAUCCUCAUGAAUCGAGAUACAAGUAUUCAUGUAAGUGUAUACAGGUAAAUGUAUCUACGUAAAGGUACUCAUGUAAUGUAUUCAUGUAAGGUAUUCAUGUAAGCGUACUCAUGUAAGUGUAUUCAUGUAACAUGUAAUGUAUAGUAUAGACUCAUGAAUGAACUGACUCUGAUGUAAUUCCUUGUAAUAGGAAUAAUGUUUUGUAUCUUCUAACUAUCCCUAUAAUAGUUAACUGGAAGGUAAUUGGUUGUUCAAGCAGGUUUAUACACCCUCGCUACACCAAGAGUGUGGGAAACUGAAUGAAGGAUGAAAACUAUAACAUCAAUACAUAUAUAAGAACAUAAGUGUAUAGGUAUAGUUUUGUUCAAGAAGGUAAAACUGGUUUUGUAAAACGUCUAUGAGUUUUGAACAGUAAUUAACAAUGACUUGAUGUCAUUUUAAUAAACAUUUCAAAACUAAUACAUUUGAUAACAAAGUAUUUUUAAGUUAGAAAACCAUUUCAUGCAUCACAUUUUGAAGUAUGUGAAAUAUGUUGGAUGAAAACACAGUUAUAAAAUACAUAUGAGUGAUUUAAUAACAUACUGUUUUCUACUUGUAUUCCCCCCCCCCAUUAAAGCAUUUAAAAUCAUUUAAAACAUUGAUUAAGGGGUAUGAACUCACCUGAAGAUGGUGGUUUGGAUGAACUGAACGGUGAAGGAUUGUUAGGUGUCAAGUGAGGACUUGUACACACACUAUGAUCCUAAUGAACAUAUAAUCACACAUAUAUGCACCCAAUUAGUCUUAAACUACUAAUUGUAAAUGUUAAGACAUCCUAGAACAUGAUAAACACUUUAUAUAAGUGUUAUAAGCCCUAAGGAUUGCAUC
rnacentral:lncRNA from 1 species